rnacentral:rRNA from 1 species
CUGGCUCAGGAUGAACGCUGGCGGCGUGCUUAACACAUGCAAGUCGAACGAAGCAACUUAUUACGAUUCCUUCGGGGUGACGAUUUGUUGACUGAGUGGCGGACGGGUGAGUAACGCGUGGGUAACCUGCCUUGUACAGGGGGACAACAGUUGGAAACGACUGCUAAUACCGCAUAAGCGCACAGCUUCGCAUGAAGCAGUGUGAAAAGUUUUUUCGGUACAAGAUGGACCCGCGUCUGAUUAGCUAGUUGGUGAGGUAACGGCCCACCAAGGCGACGAUCAGUAGCCGACCUGAGAGGGUGACCGGCCACAUUGGGACUGAGACACGGCCCAAACUCCUACGGGAGGCAGCAGUGGGGAAUAUUGCACAAUGGGCGAAAGCCUGAUGCAGCGACGCCGCGUGAGCGAAGAAGUAUUUCGGUAUGUAAA